AGACGCGCACUUCGCACCAGUCCCAGUCAACUGGCGAGUCUGGAACCCCUUCGCAGUGCAGACUGGAGUGAAACCGACGCUGCCUCCGCCCUCCGCACCAAAACGCCAAAGGAAAAGCAAAAAUGACUUUCAAACCUGGCCUUCAUAAGGAAGAUGAGUCUGGAGAGCAAAACCGAACCGAGACCUGGCUGGACCGGCGAGCUGGGCGGGAUUCAUUCCUUCACCAAAGUGCUUGGGGAAGUAGUAAUCAGCGUAGGGACAACUAAUUACCAAUUAGGAUUAGUUGCUGUUGAAGGCGCUCCUCCAAUGAAAUCUUCUCUGCUCUCUGAUUCGGUGGUUCUUCUGAGCAAAUAUGACAGCCUUUUCUCCAGGCUUCUUUCCGCUCCUUUUCACGUCCAUCCCCAGAGCCACGCUCUCCAUCUGCAAUCUCUACAACAGAACAUUUACAGUUAGUCUCAUUCCUGCGAGUAUAUCUUUGCUAUUAAGGUGACAUGACUUAUUGGGAAGAACGCAGUGUUGCUUUUUGAUUGCCGAAGAUGCUUAAGCCCAGUUUUUCCAGGUGGGAAAAUGUUAGAACAAAUCUGCUAUGCUUUGUAAACAUACAAUUGUGCUGAACUAUUCACGGACUGUUUAUUUGGGGGGGGGCAGUGGCAAAUGUAUUAAGAGGGUGAGGUAAUUUUUUUCUUUUUCUUUUAUACAAGGAUCGAUGUCCAUGUUUUCUUAAUAGACAUUGGAUUAAAAGUAUUUAUGAUGCUUCAUGGAAUACGGUAUCUCCAAGAAAGAAAAAAAAAUGAGGAUAUAAACUUUUCAUGUUCAAAUCAGUCUUAGGUUUUUAUUUUUUCAUUUUAAUGAAAACCCAUUCCAACAAGAGCACUCAUUAUUUUUAGGUACUUAUCCCAACUGGUAAAGGUACAAUGAUCUGAUUCUAAAAUAUAGCUGAGGACAAGACUUGCUUUUGUGAAAGUAUGUGCAUAUAAAUAUAACACCAGUGUAUGAAAUAUCUUAAGGCUGCAUUUUCUCUCAUCCACCUUCUGCAAUUAAAUGAAAAAAGUUGAAACCUUAAUUGAUAUAUCUGGUUAAGUUCAGUUCAAUUCUUGAUGCCCAGGCAUUUGCUAGCUGUCAAAGGGAAUACAGAGUAGCAAAAGUCAUUGUGUCUUUCCUUUAUAAAUAAGCUCCUGGUCUUCUUGGCAAGGAAAGACACCCAUGACCAUCAAGGAGAACAACUGUGCAGCAUAAAAAUUUACUGAUAAUGAAAAUUCUGUAGAUGAAAGAGUUUGCCCUUUUUGUUAACUUACAUCUAUCACUAAGCAGGAUGUGGCGCAACCGUUUUUGGCUUGAUUAAAGUCAUUCUGAAAUAA